GAUGAACGCUGGCGGCGUGCCUAAUACAUGCAAGUCGAGCGAACAGAUAAGGAGCUUGCUCCUUUGACGUUAGCGGCGGACGGGUGAGUAACACGUGGGUAACCUACCUAUAAGACUGGGAUAACUUCGGGAAACCGGAGCUAAUACCGGAUAACAUUUGGAACCGCAUGGUUCUAAAGUGAAAGAUGGUUUUGCUAUCACUUAUAGAUGGACCCGCGCCGUAUUAGCUAGUUGGUAAGGUAACGGCUUACCAAGGCGACGAUACGUAGCCGACCUGAGAGGGUGAUCGCCCACACUGGAACUGAGACACGGUCCAGACUCCUACGGGAGGCAGCAGUAGGGUAUCUUCCGCAGUAGGCGAAAGCCUGACGGAGCAACGCCGCGUGAGUGAUGAAGGGUUUCGGCUCGUAAUACUCUGUUAUUAGGGAAGAACAAAUGUGUAAGUAACUGUGCACGUCUUGACGGUACCUAAUCAGAAAGCCACGGCUAACUACGUG
rnacentral:rRNA from 1 species